rnacentral:misc_RNA from 1 species
UCCGUAGGUGAACCUGCGGAAGGAUCAUUAUCGAGUUAGGGUUCCUCUCACGGGCCCGAUCUCCCAACCCUGUGUCUACCACACCUUGUCGUUGCUUCGGCGGACCGGUCCUUCGACCGCCGGGGGUGCUUUGGCCCCCUGGAGCGUGUCCGCCGAUGGCCCAACCACACAAAACUCUUGGUACCAAACCCUGUCGUCUGAAGCACUUGAUAUAUAAUCAACACAAAACUUUCAACAACGGAUCUCUUGGUUCUGGCAUCGAUGAAGAACGCAGCGAAAUGCGAUAAGUAAUGCGAAUUGCAGAAUUUCCGUGAGUCAUCGAAUCUUUGAACGCACAUUGCGCCCAUUGGCAUUCCGAUGGGCAUGCCUGUUCGAGCGUCAUUAUCCUCCCUCAAACCCCUGGGUUUGGUGUUGGACUCUGUGGUGCGUUGGCACCACUGGUCUCAAAGACAAUGACGGCGUCCGUGGGACCCUCGGUGCAACGAGCUUUUCGAAGCACGCGUCGAGUGGACAGUCUCUCCGGGCCGGUCACCUUUCCAAUUUUUCUCAGGUUGACCUCGGAUCAGGUAGGAAUACCCGCUGAACUUAAGCAUAUCAAUAAGCGGAGGAAAAGAAACCAACAGGGAUUGCCUCAGUAACGGCGAGUGAAGCGGCAACAGCUCAAAUUUGAAAUCUGGCCUCACGGCCCGAGUUGUAAUUUGUAGAGGAUGUUUUGGGUACCGCCCCGGUUUAAAUUUCUUGGAACAGAAUGUCACAGAGGGUGAGAAUCCCGUCUUGGACCGCGGUAGGGCCUGUGUAAAACUCCUUCGACGAGUCGACUUGUUUGGGAAUGCAGGUCAAAAUGGGUGGUAAAUUUCAUCUAAAGCUAAAUAUUGGCCAGAGACCGAUAGCGCACAAGUAGAGUGAUCGAAAGAUGAAAAGCACUUUGAAAAGAGAGUUAAACAGUAUGUGAAAUUGUUGAAAGGGAAGCGCUGGCAACCAGACUCGUGCGCGGGGUUCCCCUCGGCUGCGGCCGGGGCUACUUCCCCGUGUCCGGGCCAUCAUCAGUUUUGGGGGCCGGUCAAAGGUUCCAGGAUUGUACCCACGCCUUCGGGGGUGGACUUAUAGCCUGGGGCGUCAUGCGGCCACCCGGGACUGAGGAACGCGCUUCGGCGAGGAUGAUGGCGUAAUGGUUGUCAGCGACCCGUCUUGAAACACGGACCAAGGAGUCUAACAUCUAUGCGAGUGUUCGGGUGUCAAACCCUUGCGCGGAAUGAAAGUGAACGGAGGUAGGAAGGCUUUAGCCUGCACUAUCGACCGAUCCGGAUGUCUUCGGAUGGAUUUGAGUAAGAGCAUAGCUGUUGGGACCCGAAAGAUGGUGAACUAUGCGUGAAUAGGGUGAAGCCAGAGGAAACUCUGGUGGAGGCUCGCAGCGGUUCUGACGUGCAAAUCGAUCGUCAAAUUUGCGUAUA